GAGACUGCGAGCGUUAUUCGGAUUCACUGGGCGUAAAGGGUGCGAAGGCGGCCGUGUGUGUGAGGCGUGAAAGCCCGGGGCUUAACCCCGGAAUUGCACCUCAAACUACACGGCUAGAGCAUUGGAGAGGGUAGCGGAAUUCACGGUGUAGCAGUGAAAUGCGUAGAUAUCGUGAGGAACACCAGAGGCGAAGGCGGCUACCUGGACAAUUGCUGACGCUCAGGCACGAAAGCGUGGGGAGCAAAAGGG
rnacentral:rRNA from 1 species